CCUACGGGUGGCAGCAGUGAGGAAUAUUGGUCAAUGGGCGAGAGCCUGAACCAGCCAAGUCGCGUGAGGGAAGACGGUCCUACGGAUUGUAAACCUCUUUUGUCAGGGAGCAAGGAGCGCCACGAGUGGUGCGGCGAGAGUACCUGAAGAAAAAGCAUCGGCUAACUCCGUGCCAGCAGCCGCGGUAAUACGUAGGGGGCAAGCGUUAUCCGGAUUUACUGGGUGUAAAGGGAGCGUAGACGGUUAUGUAAGUCUGGAGUGAAAGCCCGGGGCCCAACCCCGGGACUGCUUUGGAAACUGUGUAACUGGAGUACAGGAGGGGCAGGCGGAAUUCCUGGUGUAGCGGGGAAAUGCGUAGAUAUCAGGAGGAACACCGGCGGCGAAGGCGGCCUGCUGGACUGAAACUGACGUUGAGGCUCGAAAGCGUGGGGAGCAAACAGGAUUAGAUACCCGAGUAGUC
rnacentral:rRNA from 1 species